GUUUCUGUAAGAUAAGUCAAUAACAAAACGUUCGUCUUUUCAAGCGCAUACAGCGGUAAAACAUGCUGGAGGCCCGUCUUGGUUGCUAGGUGCUGGGGUUGCUAGGCAGAUGUUGCUAGGUGAGGGACAGUGUCUGCUGAUUUGUGGCGUUACCUUUCGGAGGUUUCUGAUUCAGGACAUUUUAACUUGACUUACUACCAAAAACCUUCUGGGUGGAUUUUGUAAGGGCUUGUGCUGUUUUUAGAAGUAGUAAAAACCCAAAUAGAAGUUCAAAGACAUGAAGAAAAAGAAAUUGUAGUGAAAUCACACGAAGACGCACAAGAACUCCAAGAAUAGGAAAAGCAAAUACUAAAGCAGAACGUCAACAACUGCUCCCCUGAAUUGAGAGGCUUUCUCACAUCACUGCUGCAGGAGUCGUUGUGGAUGUUGAUGCUGGUGGCAGGAAUAAAUCUGCAGACCUCUGAAUGAAGGUCGUUGCUGUCUGAAAGUCUCAUGUCUGUCAGAAGGGCAGAGAGACGCCGGGUUGAGGAUCCUUGUCCAUAAUGAUCGAUGAUAGAGAUUGAUCGAUGGAACAUAAAGACUCGUUUUCAACUCCUCUACAACUGGGGGUCAUAGUUCAGGUAUUAUUUCAGCUCUUGAGCUAAUCAGAAGAUCCCGGUUUCAAAAAAAGAUACCUUGUUACCAUGGUUACACUUCAAAACAACAGUCCUAGCUGCACAGCAUCUAAAACCAAAGGGAAAGCUAAUAGAGACAAACCAAAGACAGCAGCUGUAGAAGAAAAUGGUCUGCAAGGUAUCGACUCAGGUGGUUGGUAAAAAAAAUUGCACACUUCAUUUUUCAGAUUCCUACUUGUAUAAAAUCAUACAUCCAAUUUCUUCUCCCUGCUCUGCUUUGUGAUGAUCUGUCUGUGGUUGUGACAGGAAAAAUGUGAAGAAAUUUAAAAGUAUAAAUACAUUUGCAAGGGAGUGUUGUAGGAGUGAUGUUUAAAACUUAGAGGAUCAUACACCUGCAGGCACAAUCUAUAAAGAAACAUUUGUCAUAUUCUGAUGAAGGAGGGGGCGGCAACAGCUUUGGGAAUCUUUUUUUUUAAAUUACUCACAGUCUACACAGAAAGAAAAAUCUGUUUCCUUUUGAAAAGAGCACCAAUGCAACAAUGAGUAAAAGUGUACCUGCUGAAAGCUGCGUUACAACUGCUGUGACUGUCAAGAAGUGCCAAAGGAAAAAGUGAGUCAUCUGCAUACGUUAGUGUAAACUGUAGGGGUAGAUAUUAAGAUUCAAAUUUAG